CUUUGACUGUAUAUAUGUUUAUAUGUAAAUGUGUAUGUUUUUUUUAGGAUAUGUUUAAAAAAUCAACUAACAUUUUUCAUGGUGCCUGUACUUUGACAAAAUCUCAACUUUGAUAUUUACGGUGGCUGGGAAGUGCAAAGCGCAACAAAUUAAAAAACCGCAACAAAUUAAAAAACCGCAACAAAUUAAAAAUCCACAACAAAUUAAAAAUCCUUGACGGAAAGGGAUUGUCUGAAAUACCGGAAGUGACACAACGAUUAGCCUAAUAGGGCUUUUGGAGAGUGAUGUCACGAGAGGGGGCGUGACCAGAAAUUUUUGGUUGAGGCGCCAUGUUUCUGGGCCGAACAAAACGCUAGCGAAAGAGGAGCAAAAGUACACGGAUAACACCAGCUAUGGUUCGUACGUGAGGUGUGUUCAGUUGUAAAGUUAGAUCGCACGACCGGCAAGGGAAAAAGGUUGAAAAUCGUUUAUCUUUUCAUUCUUUCCCCACUUGGAAGCAACAUGAGGCAGCUCGUGUAUCGGAUGUUACCAAAAGAAGGCGUCUAGUCUGGAUAGCAGCUGUGAGACGAGCUGCUAUCCAGUUCUCUUCCAUCUCCAAAUAUCUGUUGGUGUGCUCCAGACAUUUUCAUUCCGGCAAACCAGCCAAUGAAAUGGAUGAAACACCGUGACUGGGUUCCAGCGCUACACAAGGGACCUGCUUCAAACGUACGGCUCUGCUAUCACUUCCAACAUACCACCAUGCCAAUCAGAUUACUUCUUCCAUGUGAGGGUGAAGAGGUGACCCUUCUGGAUAAGACAGUGAAGGUUUGCUGCCGUUUUGGUGAACAGUGUGGUAGUAAAACCAGGGAAAAAUGAAACUUGCUCCUGUUAAAUAUUCUUAAGUCUUGUGCUGUAUAAAUAGCAGUAAUUUUUCAGAAGAUAAAUUGAAGUAAUUGAUAGUAAAUUAAGUAGUGUUAGUAGUGGGUGAUAUCGUGUAAAUGCUGUCAUGAUUUUGUGUAAACAUUUUGUCUUUUAUAAACUAUAAAUGACAUUGAUUCUACAUUGUAACUGAUGUGAUGUUCUAUAAAGUGGUUUUAAUAAAAAAAGAGGCA
ensembl:lncRNA